rnacentral:rRNA from 1 species
AUGUUUACCAUCAAGGCGAAGUUCGCGUCCGUGGACACCACUUUGGCGGCGCUGACCAAGCUCCUCUCCUCGGUGAAUACUUGGGCACCAACAGUGGGCAGGAACUUGGCGGUGAUCCAGUCCACUCUGGACAAAGUGAGUGCGCAUGUCACGGUUCUGGAGGCGGAGCUACACCCUACUGUCCACGAACAAUCGCCUAGGCCUGAAGGGCGCCAUGAAGCAACACCAUGCCAGGGUACUGCAACAGAAUUACGUGUGCUCGAUCUCGGAUGUUAUGAUAUUAUACUCAGCAUGACUUGGUUAUCUGGAAUUGGUGCCAUGUGGGUGAAUUGGUUAAGAAAACCAUGCGGUUUGGACACAAUGGUGUAG